rnacentral:rRNA from 1 species
AACGAACGCUGGCGGCAUGCCUAACACAUGCAAGUCGAACGAGACCUUCGGGUCUAGUGGCGCACGGGUGCGUAACGCGUGGGAACCUGCCCUUAGGUUCGGAAUAACUCCCCGAAAGGGGUGCUAAUACCGGAUAAUGUCUUCGGACCAAAGAUUUAUCGCCUUUGGAUGGGCCCGCGUUGGAUUAGCUAGUUGGUAGGGUAAAAGCCUACCAAGGCGACGAUCCAUAGCUCGUCUGAGAGGAUGAUCAGCCACACUGGGACUGAGACACGGCCCAGACUCCUACGGGAGGCAGCAGUGGGGAAUAUUGGACAAUGGGCGAAAGCCUGAUCCAGCAAUGCCGCGUGAGUGAUGAAGGCCUUAGGGUUGUAAAGCUCUUUUACCCGGGAUGAUAAUGACAGUACCGGGAGAAUAAGCUCCGGCUAACUCCGUG